rnacentral:rRNA from 1 species
AUUGAACGCUGGCGGUAUGCCUUACACAUGCAAGUCGAACGGUAACAGGUCUUCGGAUGCUGACGAGUGGCGAACGGGUGAGUAAUACAUCGGAACGUGCCCGAGAGUGGGGGAUAACGAGGCGAAAGCUUUGCUAAUACCGCAUACGAUCUCAGGAUGAAAGCAGGGGACCGCAAGGCCUUGCGCUUACGGAGCGGCCGAUGGCAGAUUAGGUAGUUGGUGGGAUAAAAGCUUACCAAGCCGACGAUCUGUAGCUGGUCUGAGAGGACGACCAGCCACACUGGGACUGAGACACGGCCCAGACUCCUACGGGAGGCAGCAGUGGGGAAUUUUGGACAAUGGGCGCAAGCCUGAUCCAGCCAUGCCGCGUGCAGGAUGAAGGCCUUCGGGUUGUAAACUGCUUUUGUACGGAACGAAAAGACUCUGGUUAAUACCUGGGGUCCAUGACGGUACCGUAAGAAUAAGCACCGGCUAACUACGUGCCAGCCGCCGCCGUAAUAC